UGAAUACGAGACGCUACGGCGUUGAAGCAGUCUAUGUCAUACUUCCAAGAAAAGCUCGCAAUGUCUUAAACAAAUAAUGCCUGUACCAUAACCGACACAGGUGGGUAGGUAGAGUAUACUAAGGGGCGCGAGAUAACUCUCUCUAAGGAACUCGGCAAAAUGACUCCGUAACUUCGGGAGAAGGAGUGCCUUAUUUAUAAGGUUGCAAUAACAAGAUCCAAGCAACUGUUUAUCAAAAACACAGGUCUCCGCUAAGUCGUAAGACGAUGUAUGGGGGCUGACGCCUGCCCAGUGCCAGAAGGUUAAAGAAGUUGGUUAGCAUUAGCGAAGCUGAUGACUGAAGCCCUGGUGAACGGCGGCCGCAACGAUAACGGUCCUAAGGUAGCGAAAUUCCUUGUCGGGUAAGUUCCGACCCGCACGAAAGGCGUAAUGAUUUGGAUACUGUCUCGGAGAGGGACUCGGUGAAAUAGACUUGUCUGUGAAGAUGCGGACUACCUGCACCUGGACAGAAAGACCCUAUGAAGCUUUACUGUAACUUGAAAUUGAAAUUGGACUUUAUUCGCGCAGUAUAGGUGGGAGGCUUUGAGAAUAUUCUUGCGGGAAUAUUUGAGCCAUCAGUGAGAUACCACCCUUGUAAUGUUAGAUUUCUAACUUUGUAUCAUGAUCUGGUCAAAGAACAGUUUCAGGCGGGCAGUUUGACUGGGGCGGUCGCCUCCCAAAUGGUAACGGAGGCGUACAAAGGUUUCCUCUGAACGGGUAGAAAUCGUAUCUAGAGUGUAAAGGCAUAAGGAAGCUUGACUGUGAGACCUACAAGUCGAGCAGGGACGAAAGUCGGUCUUAGUGAUCUGACGGUGCUGAGUGGAAAGGCCGUCACUCAACGGAUAAAAGUUACUCUAGGAUAACAGGCUGAUCUCCCCCAAGAGUUCACAUCGACGGGGAGGUUUGGCACCUCGAUGUCGGCUCAUCGCAUCCUGGGGCGGUAGUACGUCCCAAGGGUUGGGCUGUUCGCCCAUGAAAGCGGUACGCGAGCUGGGUUCAGAACGUCGUGAGACAGUUCGGUCCAUAUCCGGUGUAGGCGUUAGAAUAUUGAGAGGAGCCUUCUUUAGUACGAGAGGACCGAGAAGGACAUACCUCUGGUGUACCAGUUAGAGUGCCAACGGUAAACGCUGGGUAGCUAUGUAUGGAGAGGAUAACCGCUGAAAGCAUCUAAGUGGGAAGCCCACCUCAAGAUAAG
rnacentral:rRNA from 1 species